UGGAUGAGUGUUUGUAGUUGUAGGUCAACACACUUGCACACACAUAUGCUGAUUUCUAGCCUUCUAAUCUUCAAAAACGUCCAUCCUCGUGUCUCCAUGCUUGCACUAUCCAAUCUUGGCCCAAAAAUGCUCCAAAAUGCUCCAAAGUGCUCCAAAUAGCACUUUGUUGCCAACUUUGUUAUUAGGACCUACAAACACACGAAAAUAACUUAAAAUACAUAAUUAACUAAGAAAUAACAACAUAAAUGUACAAGAACAAGCUAACUAAGGCAAGAACAAGCUAACUAAGUCGCAUAAAUAUGCUCCUAUCAAAUUCCCCCACACUUAACUUUUGCUAGUCCUCGAGCAAAACAAAACAAACGAAACGAACAAAACAUAACCUAGACCUCCCAACAUUUGCGUCAGGGAUUUUCAAUGAAACAUGACAUGCCAAAGAUCACCACUUACAUAGAUUUAAGCAAUCCUUACCCUCGAGCAUACUUAAUCAUAGUCACCAUUCACUAGUUCACAUUUAAUCAAUUAAAACAACAUUUUGAAUGUAGUAACAUGCCUUAGAGAAUUCCCUCAAUUCCUUACUAGAUACUCUCUAUUUUCACACAUAUUUUCUUACUACACACCCUACGAUUGAUGUAAACAUGAAACACUAGUACUCAUAUAUGUUACAACAAAGAAAGCAAUUUCUGGGGUUAAUAAGCAUGUUUAGAUUUGAUCUCAUGAAUGGAAUGCUACUACUUAGAUGCAAGAACCAGUGACACAAUAUGCUCAUACCAAUUCCAAACUCCACAUAUUGAAACGCAUAACACUCAAGAUGAAGUUAAGGGUUGUAACGGGGUUUAAGGGUAAUGGCUAACAAAGAAAGGAUAGGGAUAAUAAACGUUUUGAAAGCAAUAGCAAGCAAAGUAAUGAAAUAGACGCUUGGAAUUCACUUAAUAAUGCAAAAAUUAACUUUUAAACACAACGGGAAGAUUCAAGCAACACUUAGGGCUGAAUUCCAUGUUUUGGACCCUUUCUUCAACAAACAACGCUUUAGAGCUCUUUUUCACAACUUUUCUUCUUUUCAUUCUAUUUUCCACGAAUGUUUCUUUUUUCCUUUUUCUUUUCUACCUGUGCCUUAUUAAGGACUUUGGCGCACACACACACACACACACAAGAAUCAUUUCCCCCACACUUGUUUUUCUGCAAAAGUUCAACAAAAGGAAUUCCUUCUAAAUUAUGUUUUACU
rnacentral:lncRNA from 1 species